GAGCUGUCUGUCUUUUCCAUCUGGGCUGCAGACUGAGGUAAGGUCAGGGGCAUGUUCUACGGGCAGAACACAGGCCAGUCUUCAGAGACCAGUGUGCAAGGGAGUCCAGCACACUGUGCACAUGUCAUGCUGGGGGACAGAGCAGCAUGUGUGCUGUCUGGAGGUCUGUCUUGGAAUGUUGGUUGCCUAGCAACAAGAG
ensembl:misc_RNA